CAGCAGCCGCGGUAAUACGAAGGGGGCUAGCGUUGUUCGGAAUCACUGGGCGUAAAGCGCACGUAGGCGGACACUUAAGUCAGAGGUGAAAUCCCAAGGCUCAACCUUGGAACUGCCUUUGAUACUGGGUGUCUUGAGGUCGAGAGAGGUGAGUGGAACUGCGAGUGUAGAGGUGAAAUUCGUAGAUAUUCGCAAGAACACCAGUGGCGAAGGCGGCUCACUGGCUCGAUUCUGACGCUGAGGUGCGAAAGCGUGGGGAGCAAACAGGAUUAGAUACCCCUGUAGUCCCUGUCUCUUAUAC
rnacentral:rRNA from 1 species